UACGUAGGGGGCAAGCGUUAUCCGGAUUUACUGGGUGUAAAGGGAGCGUAGACGGAGCAGCAAGUCUGAUGUGAAAGGCAGGGGCUCAACCCCUGGACUGCAUUGGAAACUGUUGGUCUUGAGUACCGGAGGGGUAAGCGGAAUUCCUAGUGUAGCGGUGAAAUGCGUAGAUAUUAGGAGGAACACCAGUGGCGAAGGCGGCUUACUGGACGGUAACUGACGUUGAGGCUCGAAAGCGUGGGGAGCAA
rnacentral:rRNA from 1 species